CCUACACUAAUUUUCACAAAAUUCACCCCAAACUCACUCUGAGUUCCCUUCAGCGAAACGACGCACCGCUCGUCGUCACCGUAGAAGCGUAGCACAGCGCGACGCUCGGAGAACUCGGAGGACGCAGCGCCGUUGAAGAAGAGGUUUUUCUGGCGGCGGAUGACGACGUGGAAGGGGGAGAGCAAGCUGGUGACACGACGGUGGGCGUUGGCGUCUGCGAAGCGCAACUUCACUUCGACCUCCGUUGGGGAAGAAAGGUAGGAGACUGAGGCUAGGGUUUUACAAGGAGAGGCCGAUACGAUGCGACUUGGAAGUGGGAUCUUCACUUCCCGAUUUAAGGGAUAUCAAAUGUGCAAAUGUAUUGGUGGAUGCAAGUGAAUCUGUCAAGCUUGCAGAUUUUGGAUUGGCCUAGGCAACCAAAAUGAAUGACGUUAAAUCAAUGAAGGGUACAUCAUUUUGGAUGGCCCCGGAGUAUGAGAUCAUACUACCGUAGUUGUUUAGAUAUGGAGGAGUGCAACUUAUGGACAUACAAAUAUAAGCCAAUGAAGGCUGUUGAGGAAGUGGUAGAUUUCUGCAAAAAAUACUUGAUUGCAAAUAAGGAAGCAUUUUCUAAUAAGAAGCUCAACCUUGUGAUCAAUAAAGCGAAGUUCUUCUAAUCAUAACAAAUUGGUAUUAAUAUAAGAUUUAAGGUAAGUAUUAUAAAUAUCAAUAACCUUAACAGCGACACAUAUGUCAGUGUAAAGGAGAUUUUUUUAAGCAUUGAAGAGUGAUCAGUAUCUGUCUAAAUAGUACCAAGAUGUAAGAUUUCUGUAGGCUGGACCAACAGGUAUCUUCACACACAAAGAGGUUUUCACUUCUAUACAAUCAAACAAGUCUUCAAAUAUGUCAUUGCAUACAAAACUCAUGUACCAUCAUUUGCUGACACAUGGGGAUGGGUCAUGGCUUCGGAUCAACCACUAUCAAUUUGUGCUGAAGAAAUGGACAGAAGAAUUGCACAAAGAAUAGAUGGAGAACUUCUCUAUCUAAAUGAUGCUUGGUUCCAUUCAUCCACAACCAUGAACAAAACUAUUUACCAAUCGCAUCGGCGUAUUGUUCAGUACAAGACUGCUUAUUAUUCGUUUUACCUCCCAGAUUUGAGGAUACAAAUGACAACCUUUAUAUAUGGACUAUGUUUUUGGAAAUGAGACUGAAGCAAGAACAUUUUCUAAAGUUCAAGGCUGGGGGACUGAUAAAGUCGAGGAAAUAGCUUUAAGGAUUUCCUCAACGUUAUGAAUACUGCGUUAUGGAUCCUGCCAAAGCAGUCGAGCUGGUUGACGAAAACACUAUUUGUGUGGCUGCAAUCUUGGGUUCAACUUACAAUGGAGAGUUUGAAGACGUGAAGCUCUUGAAUGAAUUGUUGCUACAAAACAACAAGCAAACUGGGAGGUUAGCAAAUUCAUUAAUCAGUGCAAUGAGAUCAAAGCAGUCACUCUAGCAACGAAGGAUGGUGGCCAAUUAGGCAUCAUUAAGCCUCCACUAGAAGGUGCUAAGUAAAUUGUUAAUUAUGAGUGAAACAGGGAUUCUUGUCAUAGUUGAAUAGAUGAAUGUAUCUUAUGAAUGGUGCAUUGUCUUAGAGCCUUUUUACUUAUAAAUUGUAAAAUCAAUUUUGAUAAUUUCAUCUUGCUGGGAGUAUUUUGGGUUGUAUUUACUCGUGGGAAUUUCCCUUUCUUUUGUGGUUGUUGAUUAUUAGUUAUUUGGGAAAUUGUAGUGGUUAUUAAAUUU